GGUUCUCACUCAGAUCCCUCUGGUCCGGUCUUCCCAAGCUGUAUUUCCGCUGUCUGGACCUGUUUACGAAAGUAGAAAAUGGCACAGAUUUCACACCAAGCUGACAAAAGUAGUUUUAUUGGAGACGACAAGCCAAGAUCUCAGACCCCCAUGAACUCUGUCCCCCCCAGGGCCCCAGGUUGGGAAUCACUGCUGUAAAUCAUCAUUAUUACAGUCUUGUGGGAAGUCUGACUGCAGUGAUUCACAGGGCCCCUGGUGACUUCAAGCCUUUGAAGAGGGUUGAGAAGCGAGACCAGCUCAACCCAUCCAGCAGCCGUUAAAGGGAUCGCUGACGUUAGAGGAGGACACUAUGAAUGACAUGUCCUCCGUAGGGCUGGGGAUGAACAGACUGUGGAUCACUGCUGAAUGAGCUAAUUGAAUUUAAAUGUUGACUUGACUGGUUUUGGGUUGGGUGUCAGUGAGAAGGAGUGUAAAAAAAAUGUGAGCAGAUGAAAUGGGACACAGAUAGAUGCACUAGGUACACCCGGUAUCUGUCAAGGUUUCCCAAACAGGUGCAAAACAUUUAUUUUGAUCCCAUUACCCAAAAGAAACCGGAAAUGCAUUGAUGCAUCUCAUCCAGAAACACAGUUUUUAUUGGUCUUGUUUGCUUUUUAUUACUGUAUGACACAUGACUUUACUGAAUAUAUCAGAAUCAACUUGAUGUGUGGAUGUUUGAAACAAUGAAGACUCAUUUAAUACAUUAACAAAGACAGUAUUAACUUAUAGCAAGACAAUAGAAAGCAAUUGAGUUAAACUUCCCAACUGAUCUGAAGUCUAAUGUUGGCAAAAGUAUUGUAGCUCCAAACACAAAGUUCAAAGCUGAACAGAAAACAGCGAACAGCUAAAAAGUGAAGUUAAAACAUUCAUUUCCUUGUUUUGAGAGACACAUCAUUUAAAUAGCGAUUGCUGACGGGAACAUUUCUGAAAAACCUGAUGAAACAGUACAUUUUACUGGUAUUGAGCAACUGUCUUAAGAAAUCUUGGCUGAAGAAAUGUUUUUUUCAUUUUGUCCAGUAUGCACUUAUGGGCAAAGAGACUGUUUCAUGGAGGGCUCACAUGCAUAAUGUUCUUCAUUAUAUAGGACUGUUUCUAUUAAUGCAACACUUUCAUGCUACAUUUAAAGUUUUGGCAUUUGGUCAACAGCUUCUCAAUGCCAUUACAGCUUCGAAUAGAUGACCUGUGGUUUUAUUUGGCCUUACAAAACUCACAGUUAGCAUUAAGUGGAGUCUUAAAUGAUCUUAGUAAUGCAUUUCAGGCCACAUGGAGGUGAAUGACUUGACAGACACUAUUGAGUACUGGCUGAGUUAUUAUUUGAUCAAUAAGUCAUUGAUAGGCCUGCACUCUAUAUUCAGAGAUGAUAAAAUGCUUCAUAAAUAUUUAAACAUGAUAUUCUAGACACUGUUAUAUACGCAUCCAGAGGUCUGAUCGUGUAGCUGUCACAGAAAUAUUGGUCAUUUGUGUGUGUUGAAAUGGAUAAUAAAACACAACUGCUAAACGUUCUCAGAUGUCAUCUUUUUAAGUUACACAGUCUGACAAUACAGACAUUAGAAAACAUUGCUUAUUUUAUACAAUUUUACAUGCACAUUUCUUCAGAAUUUUGUUUUGAAUGGUGGCAGGGAAAAAAUGCGGCGCAGCAAUGCUACCUUCACAAUUUAUAUUUUUUGUACUUAAAACUUAAAAGUAUAAUCAACUUGGAUUUACAAGAUAUUUCAACUUUGAUGUUUUUAUCUUGACUAGUGACGAGUUGGUGUAACUUACAAAAUAAAGUUAAAUUAGCUUAAAAAGCACCUAUUACACUGUCAAAAAUAAAGGUACGAAGCUGUCACUGGGGCAGUACCAUUUAAAAAAGGUCCUAAUAUGUACCAUUUAGGUACAAAUAUGUACCUUUAAAGGUACAUUUUGGCAGUUCAAAGUACUAAUAUGCACUCUUUGGGUACAAAGGUGUACCUUUUUGAAAGGGUACUGUCCCAGUGACAACUUUUGUACCUUUAUUUCUGAGAGUGUAGGUUACUAAAAACAACGUUAUUGUUUGUAUUAGGUGUUGUAAGAAUUACAGACUGCCUCUAAGGGUAUUUCCCAGAACUCGGGUCUAUUUAUGUUCCCAGGGUGUAAUUCUAUUAAAAACUAAUCUAAUCUAAUAAUUUUGAGCACCAUUAAUUAGUACAAAAACAAUACAAUAUCGUACAAAUGGUACAAUAUCGGUUUGGUAUUGUCCUUCACCAGAGUUUUCACAUGUUGUGCCAUAUCUCAAACAUUAUUUAUCACAAAUUAAUAAAAAAAAUAUGCAUAUGAAUUAA